UUACUCUAUAGAAUUUACAAU
ensembl:piRNA 21ur-6729 ncRNA